CCUACGGGAGGCAGCAGUAGGGAAUAUUGCUCAAUGGGGGAAACCCUGAAGCAGCAACGCCGCGUGGAGGAUGAAGGUUUUCGGAUUGUAAACUCCUUUUGUUAGAGAAGAUAAUGACGGUAUCUAACGAAUAAGCACCGGCUAACUCCGUGCCAGCAGCCGCGGUAAUACGGAGGGUGCAAGCGUUACGCGGAAUCACUGGGCGUAAAGGGCGCGUAGGCGGGAUAGCAAGUCAGAUGUGAAAUCCUAUGGCUUAACCAUAGAACUGCAUUUGAAACUGUUAUUCUAGAGUAUGGGAGAGGUAGGUGGAAUUCUUGGUGUAGGGGUAAAAUCCGUAGAGAUCAAGAGGAAUACUCAUUGCGAAGGCGACCUGCUAGAACAUAACUGACGCUGAUGCGCGAAAGCGUGGGGAGCAAACAGGAUUAGAUACCCGAGUAGUC
rnacentral:rRNA from 1 species